rnacentral:lncRNA from 1 species
AUGUGUAUCAACCCUCUCUGGACAUGUAUUUCCAUUUUUAGAGCGGUCACUCGAAUAGACAAUCUUUGCCUUCAGUCACUUGUAUGGUGACUGUUGCUUAAUGGUAGACUCGGCAAGAUGACAUAGUUGCACAAAAUAAACAGCAGUAGUGGAUCAAUUAAGACAACAACUAAGAGCGUUGACGAGCGAGGCUAAACUUCUCCGCUGUUUUAGUCAGAUACGCAGAUACUAAGUGUAACUGUGUGAGAGCAAAGUAUUGCAUCACGCUCAUUUCAAUAUCUGCAGUGCCUACCUUUAACACAUUUAAAAGUAUGGUCUCUUUGAUUAGAUUUUUCGUAAAAAAGCAACAACAUAUAUUUCAAGUUAUAACACCCCAGAAAAAAUGUCAGUCCUCAAGCUGUGGAUCCAGAAUGGGAAAACAGGGAAGAUAGUGGUGCAAUCUACAUUUCAAGAGGCUCUAGAGAAAGCGUAUUUGAGAGUGACGGGACAGAGAUGGAUGAAGACUACAUUUUUCAAGAACUCCACACCAACAACUUUAUGGUGUUAAUUAAAGGCGAGCGAUGGAGGACAUCCAACAGAAUCCAGGUAACAAAACAAGAAAAUAUAGGUCCUCGUUGCAACCACGGUUGGUCGUGUUUCCCUGCUCAGACGUUGUAUGCAUCAACUAAUGGUCGCGCACCACCUCAUUGACUGUGAAGUAAGGCAACAGAUUGCUAGAAUAUAAUGUGGUAAGCUGAUUCGUACAAUACCUAUCCAGGCAUUGUAAGAUCUUACAUGUGUCAGCAACAUCUGAGCAGUGGAACACAGCCAUUAUCUUCAGGUGAUCUCGUAUUUAACCAUCAACGUCUGAGUAGUGGAACACAGCCAUUAUCUUCAGGUGAUCUCGUAUUUAACCAUCAACGUCUGAGCAGUGGAACACAGCCAUUAUCUUCAGGUGAUCUCGUAUUUAACCAUCAAUGUCUGAGCAGUGGAACACAGCCAUUAUCUUCAGGUGAUCUCGUAUUUAACCAUCAAUGUCUGAGCAGUGGAACACAGCCAUUAUCUUCAGGUGAUCUCGCAUUUAACCAUCAAUACACGUUAAGAUCACCCGCACAGCUGAUCUCAACCGCUCCCUAAAAUCUGAGCUUCAUUUGAGGUGUAAACUUAGUCCUCCUCUCAACCCCAAAAUUUCUAAAACAUAUUCACCCUCCCUACAGGGUGUUAUCUUCAGUUGAAAUAAAACCUGGUAAUCGAGCAGACUAAGGGUUGAUUGAACUAUUUAACAAUCAUUCAGUACAACUGAAAAAAAGUAAUUUCUCCUAUAAGACAGCAAUUAUACUGUGGCAAUAUCAUCAUACAGGUUAUAUCAAUAUCUCAUAUAGAUUAUAUCAAUAUAUUAUACAGGUUAUAUCAAUAUAUCAUACAGGUUAUAUCAGUAUAUCAUACAGGUUAUGUCAAUAUAUCAUACAGGUUAUAUCAAUAUAUCAUACAGGUUAUAUCAAUAUAUCAUACAGGUUAUAUCAAUAUAUCAUACAGGUUAUAUCAAUAUAUCAUACAGGUUAUAUCAAUAUAUCAUACAGGUUAUAUCAAUAUAUCAUACAGGUUAUAUCAAUAUAUCAUACAGAUUAAAUCAAUAUCAUCAUACAGAUUAUAUCAAUAUCAUCAUACAGAUUAUAUCAAUAUAUCAUACAGAUUAUAUCAGUAUAUCAUACAGGUUAUAUCAAUAUAUCAUA